rnacentral:lncRNA from 10 species
AACAACAUCAAGACCCAAGUGGUGAUGGGAUCCUUCAACACAACAUAUGUUUCUCUCUAUUUUGGGAGUGGUCACCCCAACAGCAUUCUAGUCAGGCACUGCCUGGCCAACCCCACAACCAGACCUGAGGCUUUCCAACCUGAACCAUGUACUCCUUGGGAGUGGAGGGAUGGACUGACAGAGAAUCAUCACUAAUACAGUCACUU